rnacentral:tRNA from 1 species
GGUGUAGCUCAGUGGUAGAGCACUUGCCUGGCUUGUGUGAGGCCCUGGGUUCAAUUCCCAUAACCACCA